rnacentral:misc_RNA from 1 species
CAAAAACGAGUUGCGAGACUCGGAAACCAUCGCGAACAUUACCUCGUCGUCGUUGCUUCGGCGGGCGGCCCCGUUACGCGGGGCGCGCCCGCCGGAGGUACGCAACACUCUUGUUUUUUCUUAGCGCCUCUCUGAGUGGAUACAGCGAAAUUAAGUCA